GAACCGAACCGGGGAACUAUAAAGAAGGCCCGAGGGCUCGGGCCCAUGGGCCGUCCCCAAGCCUCCUCGCACCGGAGGGCGUCUCCCCCCUCCCGUUCUGGCCGAAACCCUAGCCCCAACCAGCAAGUCGUCGUCUCCGCCGGUAGCCGCCGCCGUUAGAUCGUUGGUAUCAACAUAAUGACAACUGGUGAUUCUGCACACACUGGUGGAGGCAGAAACACCACCAACUGCGAUCGUGAAAAUGGAUUUGUUAGCACAUCUCCAAAGGGCGACUUGUAGCAUUGCAAACAUCUGCAUGAUUAGAUGAGGAAACUCUGUCUCGACAUCAAUGGCAACAACAUCAUCCAAGUCUUUUUCACAAUGAUUACAUGAUCGAACAGAGAGCCAAGCUGAAAUCAUCAAGAUUCGUAGAAGGUUUUCCACACUUUAACAUUCAGAUGUGAGUUUAAUUUCAGCAGUUUCUAAUUCUAUCUGGCUUCUCUUAGGCAUUCAAGAUUUGUAGAAGGUUUAAUGUGUACCGAUCUUAACCUCAAAGGUUUCUUGUCACUAAAAGUUAGAAUUCAGUGAAGGGUUUUAGCUAACACUCACACAAAGUAAAUUUUGUAGCUGGAUCUGGAUGGAACAGCAACGAUGAGAAUGGUGGUUAAUUCUGAUUUCUAUGUUGAUGAAGGUUUGAUAGCUUAUAGUGCAGUUGCAUUAUGGAUAUAUGACAAAUCAAAUUGUGAAAAGUGGCAUUUGAAUACAGAAACUGCUGCUCAAUAAUGCAACAAAUGUUAAACAAAAAAUAUAUAUAUAUUAAGUUGCAUGAUGGGAAGUGAUAACAGAUGAUUCUUGACGAUGAACAGGCCCACAUGUGAUUCUUAAUUCAACAUACUUCAAAUGGAUUGUAAUAAAAUGACCAGUACAGUCACAAUCAUAAAAGAUUUGAGAACCAGGAAGGAGGAUGAUUCAUAAGCUGCAUAAAAUAGAUCUCAUGUGCAGUUAAGAGCAAAAGAGAAAGAAGCAUAGAAGUCGCUUGGUGGUUUCUAUAUGGUUUGAAUCAGAUGCUUGGCAAAGUGGCAUCAGAAGUGGAGUAUCAUGCCCUUAAGAAACUAGCUGCGUUUCAUGCAGGCAGGCCUGUGGAUAGACUUGGGGAUCAAACAAUGCCUCUCAUCCUUUGGCACCAUGUAUUAUUUAUUAAGAUGGUGAUGGAGAAGGUAUCAGAUCAAGUGUUCUCAUAGAAGAUGUCAAAAGGGUGCAGAAUGACAAUGAUGCUUCAUUCCAGCCCACAGCAGCCAAAGAUGGAUGAGAAGUUGUACCAAAUAGAAAGUAUAAUCUUUAGGUCACAUCAGUCACAUAUAUUUUCUCUGAAUCCCCAUGAGAAUGUUCCUGCAGCACUAGAUAUGACUUCUGAAUGCAUGCCAUCCAUCAAAAGAGCAUGGGAGAGGCUUUGCGAGCUCCUUUACAGGGGUGCAGAGCCCACUACCUAAAGCAUUCAGCUGAAAGCAUAGAAACUGAUACACCCUCGAUCUUCCAUAACAUUCAUGGCAGGUUAAAGCUGUUAAAAGGUGCUUUAGGGAGGAUAUGACACUGACUCAAAUCCUCUUAGUUUAAGUGGGGAUGGGUAGAUAAGCAGCAUUUAUGGUGAUCCAUGGCAUAUGCAUAGUAAUAGAUAGGCCAAUUAUUUGCUACAGAAGUAGAAGAAGGAACUUCUGAUUUCUUUCUGCUGUUCCAGAUUUAAGCCAUUCAAGUUUAUUGGAUUCAUAUAGCAUGAUCAUUGCCCUCCAGUUAAAUUCAUUAGAUAAUGAUGUGGAGAUUCAUAAAAUCAAUGGCUAAGCAUGUGAGAGAGAAAGAGAGUUUAAGUACAGGAUUAAAGAACAAAACAGAGGAAGAAAAAGUGAGGGAUUUGGAAAAACCUAAGCAAGGAGAGAAGAACAUGGAUCACCACCUGCACUGCAUCUUUGUAAUUGUAGUGGUUGUUUGUUGAUGUGAUCUGAAGCAGACAAGCCAUCAAGAAAAUUUGGGUCUGAAUGGGCUGACACCAAAAGAGAGUGUGUUUGUCAACAUAAGAUUAAAGAAAGCAAACAUUAUCAUCUAUGCUGACUAGCUGAUGGAACACUCAACCAACACAAGCAGAUGGGAUGUGCCCACCAGUGACUGUGCUAUUUGUGUUUUACAACGUAUAUGGCACAUUGUAUGUUCAUGAAAUCCACUUACUCUGUUCUUUUAUUUGAC